rnacentral:rRNA from 1 species
CAGUCGAACGAGGGUCCUCCGGGACUCGAGUGGCGAACGGGUGAGUAACCCUUAGGGAACCUGCCCGUGCGACCGGGAGAACUUUCGGAAACUUGAAGCUGAUACCGGAUAGGGACAGAGACGGCAUCGACUCUGUGUUAAAGGAGCUGAAAGGCUCCGCGCACGGAUGGGCCUGCGGUGCAUUAGCUAGUUGGUGAGGUAACGGCCCACCAAGGCGACGAUGCAUAGCCGGCCUGAGAGGGCGGACGGCCACACUGGGACUGAGACACGGCCUAGACUCCUACGGGAGGCAGCAGUAGGGAAUUUUCGUCAAUGGGCGCAAGCCUGAACGAGCAAUGCCGCGUGAACGAGGAAGGUCUUCGGAUCGUAAAGUUCUGUUGAAGGGGAAAAAGAGCGGAGAGAGGAAAUGGUCUCCGAUUGAUAUUACCCUUCGAGGAAGUCACGGCUAACUACGUGCCAGCAGCCGCGGUAAUACGUAGGUGGCGAGCGUUAUCCGGAAUGAUUGGGCGUAAAGGGUGCGUAGGCGGCCUGCUAAGUCUGGAGUGAAAGGUACCGGCUCAACCGGUACAGGCUCUGGAAACUGGCGGGCUAGAGAGCAGGAGAGGGCGGUGGAACUCCAUGUGUAGCGGUAAAAUGCGUAGAUAUAUGGAAGAACACCAGUGGCGAAGGCGGCCGCCUGGCCUGUUACUGACGCUGAGGCACGAAAGCGUGGGGAGCAAAUAGGAUUAGAUACCCUAGUAGUCCACGCCGUANACGAUGAGGACCAAGUGUUGGGGA